rnacentral:rRNA from 1 species
GAUGAACGCUGGCGGCGUGCUUAACACAUGCAAGUCGAACGGAGCUUACAUGAUAGAGGAUUCGUCCAAUUGACUGUAAGCUUAGUGGCGGACGGGUGAGUAACGCGUGAGGAACCUGCCUUGGAGUGGGGAAUAACACAGUGAAAAUUGUGCUAAUACCGCAUAAUGCAGUUGGGUCGCAUGGCUCUGACUGCCAAAGAUUUAUCGCUCUGAGAUGGCCUCGCGUCUGAUUAGGUAGUUGGUGAGGUAACGGCUCACCAAGCCGACGAUCAGUAGCCGGACUGAGAGGUUGGCCGGCCACAUUGGGACUGAGACACGGCCCAG